rnacentral:rRNA from 1 species
CGCUUUUUGAGUUUAAUAAAAAGUAAAACCUGCCCACUGAAAAAUUAAAUGGCCGCGGUAAUUUGACCGUGCGAAGGUAGCAUAAUCAUUAGUCUAUUAAUUGUAGACUGGUAUGAAUGGUUUAAAUGAAUAACAGCUGUCUUUUUAAUAAAAAUGAAUUUUAAGAUUUUGUGAAGAUGCAAAGAUUUAAUUAAAAGACGAGAAGACCCUAUUAAGCUUUAUAUCAAUCUUGUUUUAAAGGUUCAAAAAUGAGGUUUUUAUUUUAUUGGGGCGAUAAUAGAGAUUAGAUAACCUUUAUAGAGAAAAGUGUUAUUAACAUAGUGAUGAUCCAUAAAUAAUGAUUUUAAGAACAAGUUACUAUAGGGAUAACAGCGUAAUUUUAUCAGAGAGUUCAAAUUGAUGAUAAAGAUUGCGACCUCGAUGUUGAAUUAGGAGACCUUUAAGGUGUAGCCGUUUUUUAAGGUAGACUGUUCGNNUAUUAAACUCCUACA